AGAGUGAACGCUGGCGGCAGGCCUAAUACAUGCAAGUCGAACGGCAGCACAGCAGAGCUUGCUCUGUGGGUGGCGAGUGGCGGACGGGUGAGGAAUACAUGGGAAUCUGCCCAGUCGUGGGGGAUAACGUAGGGAAACUUACGCUAAUACCGCGUGCGCCCUUCGGGGGAAAGCCGGGGACCUUCGGGCCUGGCGCGAUUGGAUGAGCCCAUGUCGGAUUAGCUAGUUGGCGGGGUAAAGGCCCACCAAGGCGACGAUCCGUAGCUGGUCUGAGAGGAUGAUCAGCCACACUGGAACUGAGACACGGUCCAGACUCCUACGGGAGGCAGCAGUAGGGAAUAUUGGACAAUGGGCGCAAGCCUGAUCCAGCCAUGCCGCGUGUGUGAAGAAGGCCUUGGUUGUAAAGCUACGUUUAGUACCGGAAAGAAAACGGCGACCGGGUUAACCACCCGUAGGUCGUCCGUGACGGUACCGGAAGAA
rnacentral:rRNA from 1 species